rnacentral:rRNA from 1 species
UGGGGAAUAUUGCACAAUGGGCGCAAGCCUGAUGCAGCCAUGCCGCGUGUAUGAAGAAGGCCUUCGGGUUGUAAAGUACUUUCAGCGGGGAGGAAGGCGAUAAGGUUAAUAACCUUGUCGAUUGACGUUACCCGCAGAAGAAGCACCGGCUAACUCCGUGCCAGCAGCCGCGGUAAUACGGAGGGUGGAAGCGUUAAUCGGAAUUACUGGGCGUAAAGCGCACGCAGGCGGUCUGUCAAGUCGGAUGUGAAAUCCCCGGGCUCAACCUGGGAACUGCAUUCGAAACUGGCAGGCUAGAGUCUUGUAGAGGGGGGUAGAAUUCCAGGUGUAGCGGUGAAAUGCGUAGAGAUCUGGAGGAAUACCGGUGGCGAAGGCGGCCCCCUGGACAAAGACUGACGCUCAGGUGCGAAAGCGUGGGGAGCAAACA